GUGCGAUUUGUUUAAGCCAGACAGACGGACGCCGGACAUUUGUAUGCUAUAAUUUGUUUACAACAUACGUCCCGUUAAAAUUUUGACGAGCGUAUAAAAUAGUCGAAUGAUGCAUCUUUUCCCGGUAUGUCAGUGUUUGACAUUUCGAAAAUAACAUUUUCGUUAGCAUCGUCACUACCUCCCCUGUAGCUGUAUCGUAAACCC
rnacentral:lncRNA from 1 species